rnacentral:rRNA from 1 species
AAAUGUGGUCAAGACCUAAGAAAGACUAUCAGACUGAUCUCGUCCGAAGCUAAGCAGGGCUGGCCCUGGUUAGUAUUUGGAUGGGAGAUCUCUGGGAACUUCAGGUGCCACAGUGG